GGGGGCUGCGAGCUACACUGAUUACUUGGUCCUGUGCCACUGCUUUAGCCAUGAAGAAUUUACGAAGAGAAAUGAGGCAGCAUCAUCAAGUUAUCUUCAAUCAAGUUAUCAUCAAAUAUCAAAAGAGACAAAGUUGCCAGUGGAGGGAGAACGGCAGUGGUAGAGCAUCAGCAGACGAAAAAGCAUAGAGUCUCUCUGACUGCCCAUGCUGGUGUGCCCUCAGUCACCACAUUCUUCAAGAAGAAGACAAAUGCCCCGUGUACCUACGAACAAUCUUUGAAGAUCCGCUGACUGAACUUUGGGUGGCCUUUGUACAUGGGAACUUAACUGUAUUCCAUGAAACAAUUAAGAUGCUUGAAGGACAGGACCGUUGUGCUGUUGAGUCUAAUGCAGUUCUAAGGAACUUUGAGGCAAAACUGGCAGCAAGAUGUGAUGAAAACUUCAUUCCUGUUUUGGUGAGAGGACUACUCAGAGAGCUUGUGGAAAACGGAGCAAUUUCUAAAGAGUCUUUUCUCGAAACAUCUAAAUCAUUCUUCACAACUGCAGUAACCUACAUAAAAGCAUGGGGCAAGCACACAGACGAUCUCAAAGACCUGCAAUGUCUCCUUUUGAAAAAGCAAAUUCAGCGUGAAGAAAUUCAGAAGGCAGUAGCCACACUGGAGGAGAAAUGCCCUAAUGUGACCAUCAAUGAGGAUGCACUGUUUGAUGAGGUCACUAGCCUGCAAGAGUUCUUAAAGGGGGAAUCACUUGAAAAAAAACAAUUAUAAUAAAAAUGAAACACCACUUUGUCAAAGUUAACAGAACAGAUAAAGAACAAGGAACUACAUCAGCUGAUUUCAUAGCAUCUUAAACAUGGUAUAGAAGGAAUAAUGUAAAAUGUAAACAUAUUUACCAUGAAAGGUUUGAAAAUGCACAAAACAAAAUGCUCAGUACCAUGUUGUGAUCAGUUCACUUCACUAGUUGACUUCUGCCCUGCUAAACAAGUAGUAAUUGUAAAAUAAGGAAACCUAGUCUGCAUAUUUCUCAGUUGAAUGUAUUUUCCUCAGGAUUGCUCUGUCUUUGUCCAGUUUCUCCAUAAACUCAUGGCAGGGGAGGUUGAAAUUUGUCUUCACAAUAAGCAUGGCUUUGAUAGUAGAAACAGUGAAUCUAUUUCUUGAUGCUAUCCAUGUAUCAUUCAUCUGAGAGAACACUCUCUCAACUGGUGCAUUACUUCCUGGCAAACACAUGGCAACUGAUGAUAAUUUAGACAGGUUAGUAUGCUGGAUGUCAUUGUCUUGAAAGAAGGUGAACACUGUUCUCCAUCUCUGACAAUUGAUGCCACUUAAUGUCCUCUGUGCAAUGUUGAAAUAAAAAAAUGAAUUAGAAUUACAGUAAUUCAGUUCAACUAAUUGAAUUAGAAA